UUUUAUUUAGACAAUAAAGAAGCUUAUAAGCAAAGCAGUGGCCAUCCCCUGCCCCUUAGGGCAAGGGGCGGCUCUUCCCCAGCCAGAAUGUGGUUCUUCCUUCGCCAUAUCCAGCUUGGGUUGUGUAUACUUGGCUAUGGUUAUUAGUUUUAACAAACUGUGCUUCAUGGAGAAGGUUGAGAAACGAUCUACCUAGUUAUGGUUAUGUAUCUUGUUUGGGAGCUCCUCCCAUAUGGCUGGUAUUCUUAAGGGAGGGAUGGUGCUGCUAGAUUUGUGGGUUACCGGUCCCUAGGCUAUAUAAGAUUAAGAUGCCUGAGAUCUGUCACGCUGUUACAAGUUUUUACGGCCAUGGAUUUUUACUCUCCUUCAACAGUAUAUGUCUUUCAGUCUAUUCUACCUCGCCGACAUCCAAGGGUGUUGCUUUUAAUUCUGGUAGCUCUGAUGGGUCUUGAAGUGAUGGUUUUAUUUAUUUGUCCUUUGAACUCCAUAGAUUUGUGCUCAAUGUUGCAGUCUUCUUCUAGGAGGUGGUGCUUCUAUCGGCAAUAGUGGGUAUACUUUGUGGGUUAAAUACCCGCUUGAGAUUAGGUUUUUUUAAUGAUAUGGGGCUUCAUUGUUUGGGCUUGGGUAGGGGAGAUUAGAUAGGCUUUGUUGUAAGUUGGGUUUGAUCCAUG
rnacentral:misc_RNA from 1 species